rnacentral:rRNA from 1 species
GACAGAGGUUGCAAACGUUGUUCGGAAUUACUGGGCAUAAAGCGCACGUAGGUGGUCCGCUAAGUCGAUUGUGAAAUUCCCCGGCUCAACCGGGAACGUGCACUCGAUACUGGCGGGCGUCGAGGUCCGGAGGGGUGAGUGGAACUCCUGGUGGAGCGGUGAAAUGCGUAGAUAUCAGGAGGAACACCGGUGGCGAAAGCGGCUCACUGGCCGGAAACUGACACUGAGGUGCGAAAGCUAGGGUAGCAAACGGGA